GCAAGCUCCUCAAGUUUCUUCCCGGGAACAAAGUGGUGAGCGAAGAAAGAAAACUAAGAGAAACACAGUUACCGACGACGCACAAGUGAGCGAGCGUUGUUAGGGUGUGACAGCAAUGCGAGUCGGACCUCACGUUGCCUGAGCAGAUCGCGAUGAGAGGCUGUCGACUCAUCAUACUUCUUACGGCGUGCGCCACCAAUGCAAUCAAUAAUAACCUGUUCCCGAGGCGACGCUCCGAGUCUACAUCUGUGUGUGAGAGCCCCGCCUGCAAAGCGAG